rnacentral:rRNA from 1 species
UACGUAGGGUGCAAGCGUUAUCCGGAAUUAUUGGGCGUAAAGAGCUCGUAGGCGGUUUGUCGCGUCUGCUGUGAAAACUGGAGGCUCAACCUCCAGCCUGCAGUGGGUACGGGCAGACUAGAGUGCGGUAGGGGAGAUUGGAAUUCCUGGUGUAGCGGUGGAAUGCGCAGAUAUCAGGAGGAACACCGAUGGCGAAGGCAGAUCUCUGGGCCGUAACUGACGCUGAGGCGCGAAAGCGUGGGAGCGAACAGG